rnacentral:rRNA from 1 species
GCACAAGCGGUGGAGCAUGUGGUUAAUUCGACGCAACGCGAAGAACCUUACCAGGGCUUGACACUCCCCUGACCGCGUAUGAAAGUACGUUUUCACCCUCGGGUGACAGGGAGACAGGUGGUGCAUGGUUGUCGUCAGCUCGUGUCGUGAGAUGUUGGGUUAAGUCCCGCAACGAGCGCAACCCCUACGUUUAGUUGCUAACGCGUGAAGGCGAGCACUCUAGACGAACUGCCGUUGACAAAACGGAGGAAGGUGGGAUGACGUCAAAUCAUCAUGCCCCUUAUGUUCUGGGCUACACACGUGCUACAAUGGCCGGUACAGACGGACGCAAAGCCGCGAGGUGGAGCAAAUCCUAAAAAGCCGGUCUCAGUUCGGAUUGCAGGCUGCAAUUCGCCUGCAUGAAGUCGGAAUCGCUAGUAAUCGCAGGUCAGCAUACUGCGGUGAAUACGUUCCCGGGCCUU